rnacentral:piRNA from 1 species
UGGGACGGAUGUGGGAUCUCAAGGG